AGUGAUGCCCAGCGCCUCCUGCUUGCCUGCAGGGCGAGCCUCCCUCAGCCCUGGGCCUGUCCACGCGGAAGGCCCUCAGCGUCCUGAAGGAGCAGCUGGAGGCAGUGCUGGAAGGACAUCUCAGGGAGCGGAAGAAGUGUCUGACGUGGAAGGAGGUGUGGAGAAGCAGCUUCCUCCACCACAGUAACCGCUGCUCCUGCUUCCACUGGCCGGGGGCCUCACUCAUGCUACUGGCCGUGCUGCUGCUGCUGGGCUGCUGCGGGGGACAGCCAGCCGGGAGCCGUGGGGUGGGGCUGGUGAAUGCCUCAGCCUUGUUCCUGUUACUGCUUCUCAACCUUGUGCUCAUCGGGCGGCAAGACCGGCUGAAGCGUCGGGAGGUAGAGCGGAGGCUGCGAGGGAUCAUUGAUCAAAUCCAAGAUGCCCUCAGGGAUGGCAGGGAGAUCCAGUGGCCCAAUGCCAUGUAUCCAGACCUCCACAUGCCUUUUGCACCAUCCUGGUCC
rnacentral:sRNA from 1 species